rnacentral:rRNA from 2 species
UGCAAGUCGAGCGAACUGAUUAGAAGCUUGCUUCUAUGACGUUAGCGGCGGACGGGUGAGUAACACGUGGGCAACCUGCCUGUAAGACUGGGAUAACUUCGGGAAACCGAAGCUAAUACCGGAUAGGAUCUUCUCCUUCAUGGGAGAUGAUUGAAAGAUGGUUUCGGCUAUCACUUACAGAUGGGCCCGCGGUGCAUUAGCUAGUUGGUGAGGUAACGGCUCACCAAGGCAACGAUGCAUAGCCGACCUGAGAGGGUGAUCGGCCACACUGGGACUGAGACACGGCCCAGACUCCUACGGGAGGCAGCAGUAGGGAAUCUUCCGCAAUGGACGAAAGUCUGACGGAGCAACGCCGCGUGAGUGAUGAAGGCUUUCGGGUCGUAAAACUCUGUUGUUAGGGAAGAACAAGUACAAGAGUAACUGCUCGUACCUUGACGGUACCUAACCAGAAAGCCACGGCUAACUACGUGCCAGCAGCCGCGGUAAUACGUAGGUGGCAAGCGUUAUCCGGAAUUAUUGGGCGUAAAGCGCGCGCAGGCGGUUUCUUAAGUCUGAUGUGAAAGCCCACGGCUCAACCGUGGAGGGUCAUUGGAAACUGGGGAACUUGAGUGCAGAAGAGAAAAGCGGAAUUCCACGUGUAGCGGUGAAAUGCGUAGAGAUGUGGAGGAACACCAGUGGCGAAGGCGGCUUUUUGGUCUGUAACUGACGCUGAGGCGCGAAAGCGUGGGGAGCAAACAGGAUUAUAUACCCUGGUAGUCCACGCCGUAAACGAUGAGUGCUAAGUGUUAGAGGGUUUCCGCCCUUUAGUGCUGCAGCUAACGCAUUAAGCACUCCGCCUGGGGGAGUACGGUCGCAAGACUGAAACUCAAAGGAAUUGACGGGGGGCCCGCACAAGCGGUGGAGCAUGUGGGUUUAA